CAGCGCGGGGGCUGACGGCCCCUCCAGGCUCCUGGGUGGAGCUGCGCUAUGGCCCAGGCUGCCCCGAGCCGGCACCCUCGCCCUUCUCCUGCCACGCUGACGUGGAGCGGAUGCUGCUGGAAGCCCAGCUAGAGACGGAGAGCGGGGACGGGGCCCUGCUCGUGCUGGACGCUCCAGCCUGGAAUGACGGUGGAGCUGGGCAGGCGAGCGAGCAGUCAGGGGAGAGCGAGGUCCUUCCUGCACACAGCCAGCCCCCACAGGGCUGCCCCCACCCCCAGCAGGUAAGGGAGCUGUCCCCUACCCUUCUGCACCCCUGGGCCCUGCUCUGACCUGCCCUGUGUCUCCUUCCAGGGGGAUACGCUGGAGGAAACCAAGCGGAGACAGCGACUCCUGCCAGCGUCCCUGGGCUGGGCCUGUACCCGCUGCCCCCGGUACCUGUCUCCAAAGGAAUUUGCCUUUGUGUGCUCCCCCCAGCCUGUGCUGUGGAGCCUGCAGGGAGGUGCAGUGGGGAGGAAGAAGAGACUUUUCAGUUCAGAGCUGCUGCUGCUCUUCAUCCCCUCGCUGCUGCUCAGCCACCUCCUGACCCUGGGGCUGGGGAUCUACAUUGGGAAGCACCUGGCAGCCACCUCGGCCAACCCCCUGUGAGGAGCCCUGUGCUGCCCCGCUCGGUGUGCAGGGGGAGCCCGGCACCCGCACAGCCCGACCGCUCCCAGGCUCCGUGUCUGUGGCACGAGGUGCCUCCCCGUGUACCUCCUGUAGCCCCCGCCCUGGGAGCUGAUCCCCCUCU
rnacentral:lncRNA from 1 species